UGGCCUACGGGACGCAGCAGUGAGGAAUAUUGGUCAAUGGACGAGAGUCUGAACCAGCCAAGUAGCGUGAAGGAUGACUGCCCUAUGGGUUGUAAACUUCUUUUAUCUGGGAAUCCAACGUUCCACGUGUGGGAUUUUGUAUGUACCAUAUGAAUAAGGAUCGGCUAACUCCGUGCCAGCAGCCGCGGUAAUACGGAGGAUCCGAGCGUUAUCCGGCUUUAUUGGGUUUCAAGGGAGCGUCGGUGGCUUGUUCAGUCAGUUGUGAAAGUUUGCGGCUCAACCGUAAAAUUGCAGUUGCACCUGGC
rnacentral:rRNA from 1 species